rnacentral:rRNA from 1 species
UACGUAGGGUGCAAGCGUUAAUCGGAAUUACUGGUCGUAAAGCGUGCGCAGGCGGCUUUGCAAGACAGAUGUGAAAUCCCCGGGCUCAACCUGGGAACUGCAUUUGUGACUGCAUGGCUUGAGUGCGGCAGAGGGGGAUGGAAUUCCGCGUGUAGCAGUGAAAUGCGUAGAUAUGCGGAGGAACACCGAUGGCGAAGGCAAUCCCCUGGGCCUGCACUGACGCUCAUGCACGAAAGCGUGGGGAGCAAACAGG